UACGUAGGGCGCAAGCGUUGUCCGGAAUUAUUGGGCGUAAAGAGCUCGUAGGCGGCCAGUUGCGUCUGCUGUGAAAUCCCGGGGCUCAACCCCGGGCGUGCAGUGGAUACGGGCUGGCUAGAGGCAGGCAGGGGAGAACGGAAUUCCCGGUGUAGCGGUGAAAUGCGCAGAUAUCGGGAGGAGCACCGGUGGCGAAGGCGGUUCUCUGGGCCUGUACUGACGCUGAGGAGCGAAAGCGUGGGGAGCGAACAGG
rnacentral:rRNA from 1 species